AUUGAACGCUGGCGGCAGGCCUAACACAUGCAAGUCGAACGGUAACACGAAGAAGCUUGCUUCUUUGCUGACGAGUGGCGGACGGGUGAGUAAUGUCUGGGAAACUGCCUGAUGGAGGGGGAUAACUACUGGAAACGGUAGCUAAUACCGCAUAACGUCGCAAGACCAAAAAGGGGGACCUUCGGGCCUCUUGCCAUCGGAUGUGCCCAGAUGGGAUUAGCUAGUAGGUGGGGUAACGGCUCACCUAGGCGACGAUCCCUAGCUGGUCUGAGAGGAUGACCAGCCACACUGGAACUGAGACACGGUCCAGACUCCUACGGGAGGCAGCAGUGGGGAAUAUUGCACAAUGGGCGCAAGCCUGAUGCAGCCAUGCCGCGUGUAUGAAGAAGGCCUUCGGGUUGUAAAGUACUUUCAGCGGGGAGGAAGGGAGUAAAGUUAAUACCUUGGCUCAUUGACGUUACCCGCAGAAGAAGCACCGGCUAACUCCGUG
rnacentral:rRNA from 1 species